rnacentral:rRNA from 1 species
UACGUAGGGGGCGAGCGUUGUCCGGAUUUAUUGGGCGUAAAGAGCUCGUAGGCGGUUUGGCAAGUCGGGUGUGAAAACUCCGGGCUCAACUCGGAGACGCCACUCGAUACUGCCAUGACUCGAGUCCGGUAGGGGAGUGCGGAAUUCCUGGUGUAGCGGUGAAAUGCGUAGAUAUAGGAAGGAACACCAGUGGCGAAUGCGACCACCUGGACUGAUACUGACACUGAGGUGCGAAAGCGUGGGGAGCAAACAGGAUUAGAUACCCGAGUAGU